rnacentral:rRNA from 1 species
GAUGAACGCUGGCGGCGUGCCUAAUACAUGCAAGUCGAGCGAACGGACGAGAAGCUUGCUUCUCUGAUGUUAGCGGCGGACGGGUGAGUAACACGUGGAUAACCUACCUAUAAGACUGGGAUAACUUCGGGAAACCGGAGCUAAUACCGGAUAAUAUUUUGAACCGCAAGGUUCAAAAGUGAAAGACGGUCUUGCUGUCACUUAUAGAUGGAUCCGCGCUGCAUUAGCUAGUUGGUAAGGUAACGGCUUACCAAGGCAACGAUGCAUAGCCGACCUGAGAGGGUGAUCGGCCACACUGGAACUGAGACACGGUCCAGACUCCUACGGGAGGCAGCAGUAGGGAAUCUUCCGCAAUGGGCGAAAGCCUGACGGAGCAACGCCGCGUGAGUGAUGAAGGUCUUCGGAUCGUAAAACUCUGUUAUUAGGGAAGAACAUAUGUGUAAGUAACUGUGCACAUCUUGACGGUACCUAAUCAGAAAGCCACGGCUAACUACGUG